CGAGACUCCCUCUCAAAAAAAAAAAAAAAACUGUUAGGUAUAUAUUACGGUAUAUAUAUUAAGGCAGACCUGGGUCGGUCUCAUACUGGAAUGCCUAUUAGCUGCAUGAGGGGAAACAGUAACCAGAAAGUAGAGGACUGGACAACAUCUGGACCAAGGGAUCAAAAUUAACAUCAAUAAGGAAGUCGCUAUGCACAGUUCACACUUAAGGACUGAGGAAGAGUUAUGUUCCAUCUCCUUGAAGUCCUAGAAUCAGGCGUUUCUUUAAGAGGCCCUACUUCCUCUAAUUGGAUAAUUCUAGAAACCGGUAUUUGAAUCUGAGGUUUAACUAAAGAGAAUACCUUCUACUGAUGUAACAGCAAUGGUAAUUGGUAUAAAGGCAAAAGCAUGUGCAAAGGAGAAAUCACAACAAAGGCCACUUAUUGAAAUAAAACCUAUUAAAAAUGUACAUUAUCCUCUUGA
rnacentral:lncRNA from 1 species